GACGAACGCUGGCGGCGUGCUUAACACAUGCAAGUCGAACGGUAAGGCCCCAGCUUGCUGGGGUACACGAGUGGCGAACGGGUGAGUAACACGUGGGUGACCUGCCCCGCACUUCGGGAUAAGCCUGGGAAACUGGGUCUAAUACCGGAUAGGACCGCACCGUGAGGGUGUGGUGGAAAGUUUUUCGGUGUGGGAUGGGCCCGCGGCCUAUCAGCUUGUUGGUGGGGUAAUGGCCUACCAAGGCGGCGACGGGUAGCCGGCCUGAGAGGGUGGACGGCCACAUUGGGACUGAGACACGGCCCAGACUCCUACGGGAGGCAGCAGUGGGGAAUAUUGCACAAUGGGCGGAAGCCUGAUGCAGCGACGCCGCGUGGGGGAUGACGGCCUUCGGGUUGUAAACUCCAUUCACCAUCGACGAAGGUUUUCUGACGGUAGAUGGAGAAGAAGCACCGGCUAACUACGUG
rnacentral:rRNA from 1 species